rnacentral:rRNA from 1 species
CUACGGGGUGCUGCAGUGGGGAAUAUUGGACAAUGGGGGAAACCCUGAUCCAGCAAUGCCGCGUGUGUGAAGAAGGCCUGCGGGUUGUAAAGCACUUUCGGUUGGGAGGACUGCUUCUAGCACUAAUAUUGUUGGAAGUUGACGUUACCUUCAGAAGAAGCACCGGCUAACUCCGUGCCAGCAGCCGCAGGUAAUACGGAGGGUGCAAGCGUUAAUCGGAAUUACUGGGCGUAAAGCGCGCGUAGGCGGCUAGAUCAGUCGGGUGUGAAAGCCCCGGGCGUAACCUGGGAACUGCAUCCGAUACUGUCUAGCUUGAGUACAGGAGAGGAGAGUGGAAUUCCACAUGUAGCGGUGAAAUGCGUAGAUAUGUGGAGGAACACCAAUGGCGAGGGCAGCUCUCUGGCCUGAUACUGACGCUGAGGUGCGAAAGCGUGGGGAGCAAACAGGAUUAGAUACCCGCGUAGUC